UGCGCAAAGCUAUUUUGCACGACAACUGCCCAUCUGCGUCGCACAAAGUGAAACCAGAAAUUAUUGUCCUUCUGUCAUUUAUUCUAACACAAGUCAAAAGCCAGAACAAAACAGUAAAAAAUAUAGACAUCCCAACCCUCUCCCUCACCUGGACUCCAAAGCCGCCCUGAUCACACUCAUCACUCCAAUUCCAACACUUCACUCAAAACUAAGAAAACCCAAUUGCCAGAAGAACCAUUUAAACAUACCAAAGAUGCAGUGACUGAGUUCAUCGAAGGAAUUGUCGAAACGUAUCCUGGGCUGCAGUACUUGGAUGGUUUCCCUCAGGUUAAGGUUGUGUUGCGUGCUGAUGUUUCCGGUGGGACGUAUGACAAAGUUGCUGAUGUUUCAGAAUGAUUGCAUAUUUACAGAAGUUGAAGGAGAGAUGUGCAAGCUGUAAGGAGGCUGAAAAGGAAAUUGUGCAGAAUAUGAGGAGGUUGAUGCUCACUGUAUUUUCUUUUCUUUUUUUCAUCUCAGGGUUUGGGAACCUAUACCUGUGGACUUAUUUCGCAACUUGGGUAAUGCAUAUUGCAAUUCUGUAUGGGAGGGAACGCUUCUACUUCAGAAUGAAAAACUGGAUGGUUGGAAGGACAUGAGGGCUCCAGUUUUCAAACCAGGCCCCAAGGAUGCAGCUCAGCAUAAGGAAAUAUACAUUCAAGCAAAGACGAAAACUUGUGAUGUAAUUACAGACGACGUCAAUUGAAGAUGGGGGAAGGCAAAGUGCAUUAGAAAGAGCGAUGGAGAUGGGAGCAAUUACAGACGAGGAAUUGUUCAUACUACUUGCGCGACUUGACGGUGGGGUGGUCGCGCAAAUAAGUUUGACAAUUGGAUUUAACAUAACAUUUUAUCGUAUCCAGUUGUGCAAAUAUUUUAAAUUGACGAUCAAUUAGGUUCAUGGUAUUCAUAUAGGCUCAAGGAGUGUAUCUGUAAAAAGUCAUUAAAAUUGGCGUUAAAAUAACCGUUAAAUUGUGAUUUUUCGUUUAUAACUGUCGAAAAGUUUUGUCUCGUUAAUUGAUCUUUGGAUGUUUUUUUUUUUCAAUUUUUGGUGUAUGCGAUCUCGGAAUAUAUACAAACAAGUUUGAGGUUGGAUCGUUGAAAUUAGUUUCGUACAAUGCGUAUCCCAUCAAAACGACAGAUUCCCUAACACUUAGAAUUUAUUUAUACUAUCAUUAAGUUUAACAUAACAUUUUGUGAUAUCCACUUGUGUACAUAUUUUAAAUUGGCGAUCAAAUUAGUUCGUUGUAUUCAUAUAGGCUCAAGGAGUGUAGU